CAACCGGUUUGUCUGUCUUCAGUUGUCAGAUUUUAUUUCUUUUGAAACUUCAAUACUAAAAAAGUAUAUGGCUAUUUAUCCAGCGAAGACGUGCGAUUAACAAGUUGAGAAUCCUAAGGCGUCUGUGAAUGUUUCUGUUAUAUUAUGAUAGAUGUGCUUGUUUUCUCCUAAUCCAGUUACCGGGUAUUUAUCAAGUCUCUGUGUUUUGAGGGGUUUGUUUUGUUUUUUUACUACAGGAUCUUAUUCUUUGCUCUAACCAGUUGUUAUAGGCUUGAACUUCGUCGCUAAUAUAAAUAUUGCACGACACAUUUCAUUUGUGAUGCAUAUCUUAAAAUAUCAUUUAUUCUUAGCUGGGCGUGGUGGCACACAUCUGGGAGGCAGAGGAAGGCGAAUCUCUCGAGUUCGAGGCCAGCCUCGCCUGCAAAGCUAGUUAGUUCCAGGACAGCCAGAGAAACCCCUGUCUCGAAAUAGAUCAUGUUUUUCAAUGGAUUGACGUGAUAUAUAUGCAGCUCUAUUACAAAUUAGCUUUUUAUUUAUUUAGAGUGAAGGGAGCACCACAGGGCACUUGUAUCAGUGAAAGAACAGAGGCCAACAGAAUUGGUACUCUCCUGCCACCAUAUAGAUUUCAAGAGUUGAGCUCAAGUCAUAAGGCUUGGCAGCAGGCAUAUUUACCCAGUGAGCCAUCGCAUCAAUUCCAAGUUAGUUUUCUUAUUAUCAUAUACGAACAUAAUGAGUUUCCUUUGUAAUCUGAAUUAUUUUAUCCAUUUAAAAGACCUUCUCUAAGAUGUGAUCCAUGAGUUUCAGUGUUCUUCCAAAGAAGUCCUGGGCACACAAAGGGUUCAAAAUUUCUUCUCUGUUAAGACCUGUUCCUUCUUUUCCCUUUACAACCAUGAGCAAUCAAAGGAGUGAUUCCUUGAAGAUGCAGUUUGGGAGGUUUUUGGAAGAAGUAGAACUCCUGAUAAGUGGGAUACACUGGAUUUUACAGAAGUGACUAUACUCAAUGUAGAAUAAGCAUAACAUAGGCCAAGGACAUCUCUCAGAGAAGGAGGGAGUCAUCAUCGGUUAAUGACCAGACCAGCAUCUGAAGCAGUUGAAGGACCGGACAGUCCCACUGACCAACGGGAUCGCAGCAUAGUGGCUGCGAUGCUGUGCAGGAAAUGGAUAAAAGAACAGUUCCCAAAACCCUCCAAAGAACAAUUGAAAAUUGUUGAAGAACAAAGAAAGAUUCAUGAGAAAAGGAUGAAACUAGAACAAGAAUGACAAUGCCAACAAAAAGAAGAGCAAAAAAUUAUCCUGGGCAAGGAGAUGUCCAGGCCAAAACUGUCCUCCUCAUUAACAACCCAGGAUCGAAUGGCAGACUCUGAACUUUUUACAAAAAAAUAUGAAAAAAACUUUGUAUUGUAGCUUCAUGUUGAAGUCAUUUUUUUGUUUUUGUUUGUUUUAUUUGGCAAGUCUGGACAGUUAGCUUGUUCUAAUAGGGGCUAUGCUCUGCAAUCCCUUUAUUUUUCCCGCUUUUCCUCCAUUGCGUCAGAUCAUUGCUGUCUUGUAGAAGUGGUGUAUUUUUCACCUGAUGGGAUUCUAUACUGGUUGAUGGCCUGCUGAAGUGCAGGUCACUUGGUGAAUAGCUUGGUCUGGUAAGGUGUCCACUGACCACUGACUUUGGGGUUAUACUCUGUUUACUAAGUCAUAAUGCUGGUUUUGGUGACUUUUUGUUUUUUAUACAUUUAUAAAAGAAGAAAAAAUUGGUAAUUACAUUGCAAAAUUCCCAGGGUUUUGCUGGACCUGUGUGGUAUUGUUACAGCAGUGUCCUUGUGAUACUGUGUCUCUUGGUGUUCCUGAUAACAGGUAAGGAUAACAGAUGGUCACCACAGAAGUACCCACAUUUCGGUAUGGUCUCUGUCAGACUUUUGUUUCUUUCAUUGGCAAAAUCAAACCAGCAUUCCCCACUGUCAAUAAAUGAUUUUGCUGAAUAAAGUAAAGUCUUAAAUUCAAAAAAAAAAAAAAA